UUGAUCAUGGCUCAGGAUGAACGCUGGCGGCGUGNNUAAUACAUGCAAGUCGAGCGAACAGAUAAGGAGCUUGCUCCUUUGACGUUAGCGGCGGACGGGUGAGUAACACGUGGAUAACCUACCUAUAAGACUGGGAUAACUUCGGGAAACCGGAGCUAAUACCGGAUAACAUAUUGAACCGCAUGGUUCAAUAGUGAAAGGCGGCUUUGCUGUCACUUAUAGAUGGAUCCGCGCCGUAUUAGCUAGUUGGUAAGGUAACGGCUUACCAAGGCAACGAUACGUAGCCGACCUGAGAGGGUGAUCGGCCACACUGGAAGUGAGACACGGUCCAGACUCCUACGGGAGGCAGCAGUAGGGAAUCUUCCGCAAUGGGCGAAAGCCUGACGGAGCAACGCCGCGUGAGUGAUGAAGGUCUUCGGAUNNUAAAACUCUGUUAUCAGGGAAGAACAAAUGUGUAAGUAACUGUGCACAUCUUGACGGUACCUGAUCAGAAAGCCACGGCUAACUACGUGCCAGCAGCCGCG
rnacentral:rRNA from 1 species